rnacentral:lncRNA from 1 species
GUUGUAUUUAUGCUGUUUUAAUGUUAUUACAAAAAUAAUAAACAAAUAUCUUGCAGCAAUUUUCUAUUUAAUGAGAUUCUGCGAAGAUUGUCAAAUUCUUUAAAAUGUCAUUGGAGAUGACUGACAGUUACUUUUCAGACCAAUUUUUAGAUAGAAGAGUGUAUCAACAUGUUUCUCUUUCUUGGUACCCAAAUACCUAAUACUUUUGAAACCUACCGCUAAAGAAAAUGGUAGUCCAUACUCAAAAUUUCCAGAGAUGAACCAUGCAUAAUAUUGACAUAAUGUUUGGUGCUACAUGUAUUAUCGUCAUGCAGAAAAUGUGCUUAAAUUUCAUGAUGCUGUUAAGAAUGUGAUUAAUAGAAAGGAAUUGAUGUAGCCUUGUUUUUUUUUAUUGUUUCUUAUGCUUCAAUGAGUGGCAAGGUGUGCUAGAUUGUGCUAUUUGUAUGAUUGAAUGAGUGACAAGGUGUGCUAGAUUGUUCUAUUUGUAUGAUUGAAUGAGUGGCAAGGUGUGCUAGAUUGUUCUAUUUGUGUGAUUGAAUGAGUGGCAAGGUGUGCUAGAUUGUGCUAUUUGUAUGAUUGAAUGAGUGGCAAGGUCUGCUAGAUUGUGCUAUUUGUAUGAUUGAAUGAGUGGCAAGGUGUGCUAGAUUGUUUUAAUUUUAAAAGCUUAAAUCAUGUUACUUAUCUGAUUUGUUCAGGAAAAAAAUUGAAUCAUGUGAAAAAUUAGUUAGCAUUGUAGAUUGCAUGUGUAAUAUUGAAAUCAUGUCAGGCAUGGUAAGAAUGUGGUAUGGAUCGGUAGCUGAUAUUGUUCUCUUGAUUUGUGAGAUAUUUAUAAAGUCAUUUUAAAACUUACUUGAAUUGCAAAAAUAUAUACUUUUAUAACAUAUUUGGGUUUCACACUAGUUUUGAGUAAGAUAGAUUUUAAAAAAUAGGUUUGGUUGCUUUUUUGUAAUAACAAAAUUUGUAGGAUUGUAUUUCCAGUUAUUACAAAUUCUUGAAAAAAUGUUUGUGAUAAAAAAUUGUCAUAGGGAUCAAAUGAUUAUUAUAAAUAUUUAAAUGGACCAUAUAAAUGUCUAACAUUUGGGUAAGAAAGCGAAUGACUGAGGAAAAAUUAAAUGCUGUGAUUUUGAGGAAUAAAUAUGUUUUUGUUAUGUUUUGUAUGAUGCUGAAAAUGUGAUAAAUAAAUCUAAU